rnacentral:rRNA from 1 species
AUAGCGUAUAUUAAAGUUGUUGCGGUUAAAAAGCUCGUAGUUGGAUCUCAGAUCGUGCCAGGUGGUCCACUUGACAGUGGCUACUGCCUGGCCGAUCAAUUUAAUGAGCCGUCCUAUGGUGCUCUUCACCGAGUGUCAUAGGCGAUCAUUACGUUUACUUUGAAAAAAUUAGAGUGCUCAAAGCAGGCCUUAGUGCCCGAAUAAUGUUGCAUGGAAUAAUGGAAUAGGAUCUCGGUUCUAUUCUGGUGGUCUUCGGAGUCUGAGAUAAUGAUUAAGAGGGACAGACGGGGGCAUUCGUAUUGCAGCGCUAGAGGUGAAAUUCUUGGACCGUUGCAAGACGAA